CAAUUCGGUCCGGAGUCAAUGGGUUAUCUUUCAAAAAAAAAAAAAAAAAAACCCCCCAUUGACAACAACUUGACCGGCGU
rnacentral:sRNA from 1 species